rnacentral:lncRNA from 1 species
ACUAGUAUCCAUGAGGAUGUGUGUUCAAUCCCUGGCCUCACUCAGUGGGUUAAGGAUCCGGUGUUGCCAUGUGCUGUGGUAUAUCUCGCAGAUGCAGCUUAGAUCCUGUGUUGCUGUGGGCUGUGGUGUAGGGCAGCAGCUCUGUAGCUCCAAUUCAACCCCUAGCCUGGGAACUUUCAUGUGCUACAGGUGCAGCCCUAAAAAGCAAAAAAAAAAAGCAAAACCUGUGGAGGAGCUAAAGAGGGUGGUAGUUAUGGGAAGAACAGGACACGUUUAAGGGCAUUAGGAUAAGGCUGAACUGCUAAGACACAGUGACCGCUCAGAUUGGGGACCUCAGGAACAGGAGGACAACAAGAUGCCCCUGGAGUUCCUGAGAAGAUGGCUGAGGGGAAAGAGCAGGGCUGUAGGUCAAGAUAAAUAUAGGUUCUUUUGAGGGAGGAGUUGGAAGUAGGGAUGUUGUCUGGGGCGGAGAAUUGUCAUGGUUAGUUGGCUCCUUUUAGCAGCAAGACUGGCCUGGUGACCACAGAGAUACACGGCUAUUCAGUUAGCACACGCUGGGUUUCUUCACCCAGACUCUUCUUGCCAUGGACUCACCUACUCUUCAGCUUCCUGACGAGCUCCUGUCCCAUGUCCACAUUCUGGUAGCUCUCUCACUUGACUUUGACUUUGCUAUCUUUUGCCCAGAUAUGGUGUCAACCUCCCUUCACCACAUUGUCCCACUCCUUCCCUGCCUAGGGUCUGACUUUUCACCCAGAGCUUCUCUGUGCUGACUUUCUCCCCAGUUCCCAAGAUAACCCAAAUGGCUUGGAACUCACCGCACCCCUCUUCCUCCUUCCCUCCCUCCAUCCCUUCCCCCUUUCUUCCCUCCUCCCUUCCUUCCUUCCAUCCUUUCUUCUUCCCUUCCUUUGACACAUGUUCAGACCACACUGGAAAAGGUGUUCACACAGCUGGAUGUGAUAGAGAACAGCCUUGGAGUAAGCAUCCCCUACACAUUUUAGGAACCCUCCUUCCCAUCCCUGGAGGCACCCCAACUCUUGUCUGCCUGCUUACCUGAGACCCGGUAACUUCUCCUCACUGCAGGCUACAGGAGAUACCCACAAAGGAGGCUUCUCCCUCUGCUGGGCCCCCCAUCCAUGAUAGUCCUCUGUUUUCACAGCCAGAGGGACAGUCCCAAAUAGAAUCCCAACCCACACCCCCAUCAAAGGCAGGUGUUUCAGCUGCCAGGUUCUUCAGCCUCAAAACAGCUCCCCACAGACCAGUCAAGGCAGGGCAGACACUAGGUGAGGAUGUCAUGGAGACAAACCAGAGGAAUUAGGGGUAGGGUGGAGAAGAGGAAGCUGGAGGGGGCCUUGUUUCGUUAAACCACAGGCAGGACUGCCUGGUAGACAAUGGGAAGUACAAAUGCAGGGUUUAACGUGAGGAGAGAGAUGGAGACACCAAUAAGUAAUAUCAGUGUCUGCUUUACUUUUCAGCAGUGUCUAUAGAGAUACGAUAAUAGGAAUAAGAAAACAAAGAUCUGGGAGGACCCACCCCAAAGAUCAUCUGGAGCACAGCUAAAAUGACUUAAGUCAUUUUUCCAAGAUGGCAAAUUCACUGCCACCUUGACUUCAUAAUGUAGAGCUGCCUCUUUAUUAUUAUGAAAUUCAGAUGCUAUGACUGUUUGUCAGGACAGCCACCUUGGGCAACAGGAAGGUGAAUGAGAUGGAAGGUGCAGAAACAAUGGAUGGUUUCUUGCAAGUUUCACUGAGACGUGAUCGGGAAAGGUGCAUAAACACCUACCAAAGAAAUUAACAAGCACAGUAUCCACUUUUUCUCUCAGUGUCUGUAUCAAAGAGAUCCUAGAUUGUAUGUUAAUUUAUCAUCUGUCUUUUGUACCAGGGCAUCACCAGGCAGUUGCACUGAUCUGAAAUAAAUGAUUAGGGGUAAAGUAGAUAUGAAACAAAGACUCCGUAAUGUGCCCACCAAAAAAAAUUAAGAUCCUAUUUCAUUUUAUAGUGUAGAUUCUAGAAAGAUUAUGAAGCACCAGAUUCUUUGAUGUUCUUGGAUAUAUUUCAGUGUUGUUAUGACAUUAUUAUCUCUUUUAUUCCUACACUAUUUCUGUUCUGCUGUAGUUACUGUCAUUGUGGAAGUCUCUCAUUACUUUUUUUUUUUUUCUUUUAAAAAAUUCCUUUGAAUUUGACUCUGGUUGAAUUGUGUCUGUGUGUGUUGAUUUUACUAGAGUCGUUUUCUAGUUAGUUUGAAUUGUCUUUUUGAAGUUUUCUUCUCUGAUCCUUAAGAAAAAUGCUUUUUUCUUUAGGAUUUUAAAAUGUAUUUAAAUAUUAUGUUUUUAAUUUCUAUCUGUAUCAUAUUUUGGUCAGAAAAUAUAGCCUUUACAAUUUAUCCUUUGGGGAAUUGAUUGAGAUUUUUCUGGUAUGUGCCUAGUUUUCAAUAAAUACCUUAUUAGCUAAACAUAAUUUUUACUCAAAUCCUCUAUAUCUUUAUUUUUUUCCAUUAGUCAAAUACAGAGAAGACGUUUGUUCCUGUUUUUAAGGUCAUACUUUGUAAGCCAGAUCUAGAGUAUUAUUUUCUGUGAAAUAUUGAUUUAGUCUUCAAAAUGAUUUUUAUAAAUAAAAUAAUAUAUUUUUGGCUGGAAAUUUUAAUGAUGACUCAGUUCUAAACCAAGACGAAUAAUGCCAAAUUCUUAAUUCAAGUUGUCUUCAGAGAAAUAAAGAAAAUAAUUAUCUAAUGUCCAGAAAAUGCUCCCUGGAAAGUUGCUAGCUAGCAUAGUAACAAAAGAUAAACAAAUAAAAUACCCUUUUUAAAAAGCAGUCAUAAAAUUUGCCUAUCAGAAACAACAUACACAAGAAUCAUUUUAAUUUUUUUUUUUCUCUUUUUUAAGUUUGCACUUGUGGCAUAUGUAAGUUCCCAGGCUAGGAGUCAAAUCAGAGCUGCAGCUGCAGCCUACGCAAUAGCCAUGGCAACACCAAAUCCUUAACCCACUGUGUGAGGCCAGGGAAGGACCCCACCUCCUCACAGAGACAGUAUCGGGUCCUUAACCCACUGAGCCAAAAUGGGAACUCCCAUUUUAGUUUUAAUUUAAGCUAAAUUACAGAAUUUUUCAACUAAAUUCUUUUCACUAAGUCUAAGUCCUUUUUUACUAAGAAUUUUUAGAAUAAAAGCAACAAAGAUAAGGAGCUGUUGCAAUGCCCUUUCCACCUCAAAUUGUCCUCCUCAAAUUGAUCCCAGCAGUUUUUAGGAGAAAAAAGUCAUAAUCAGGUGGAGUGGGAAAGUGUGCCUCUUCUUCUUUUUUGUAAGCAACCUUAAAAAUGUAAUGUAAUGAAAAGGCAGCCUGUGGAUGGGAGAAAAUAUUUGCAAACCAUAUGUUGGAUAAGGGGUUAAUAUCCAAAAUAUAGGAAGAACUCAUUCAACUCAAUAACGACAACAACAGAAAACAAGCAAUCGUAUUUAAAAAAUGGGCAGAGGAUGUGAAUAGACACUUUUCCAAAGAAGACAUACUAAUGGCUAUCUUAUACAGGAAAAGAUGCUCAACAUUACCAAUCAUCAAGAAAACGAAAAUCAGGAGUUCCCGAUGUAGAACAGUGGUUAACGAAUCCGACUAGGAACCGUGAGGUUUCGGGUUCAAUCCCUGGCCUUGCUCAUUGGGUUAAGGAUCCGGUGUUGCCGUGAUCUUUGGUAUAGGUUGCAGAUUCAGCUGGGAUCCCACGUUGCUAUGGCUGUGGUGUAGGCCUGCAGCUACAGCUCUGACUAGACCCCUAGCCUGGGAACCUCCAUAUGCCUUGGAUGUGGCCCUAUAAAAGAUGAAAAAAAGAAAA